GAGGGUCCAGGCGGAAGGUGAGGCGCGGGCACCUCACCUCGUACUCCAGGUACUCCUUCCGCAAGCGGUAGUCCUCCAGCUCUCGGCUGCGGCCCCGCCGCUCCGGGCACACGGGCUCAGAAAAGAGGUCUGCAUCAGUUGCUCGUCCUCCCGUGCUGCCCAUCGCGGGUGCAGACUCCCUUCCUACCUUCAGGAAGUAGAGGACCAUCCCUCGCAAGACCGUGUGGAGCAUCUUCCAGCCGCGCUUGCCCCACGGCGCUGCCCCAGGAGCAGAACACAAAGGUAAGCGGCCACUUCGGACUUCCGGAAGCCCUCCAGGCGAUAGAGGCGGGAGGCCAAGUUCCAGGCCACCUUGUCGGUCCUGACGCCAUUCUCCACCUUGCCUCCAGCUGGCGGCCUUUGGCCUUCCUCUGGGGGCUGCGCGUGGGGCACGGGGCUCUCAGGAAGCCUGCGAAAGUCCAUCAGUGACCUCAGACUCCCACUUGGGAUGGACACAGAGGGGCUCGGGGUCAAGCAUCCUUGAGGUCAGUCGUAGGGGCGGGUGUGCUCAGAAGUCCACGCCCAGAGCUCAGGGCAGGAGCUGGAGCUCCAGGGCCUCGUGUGGCCGGGGAAGAGCCGGACCAGGGCCUCCCCCAGGGAAGAGGCAGGGUCACAGCCUGCCUGGCCUGACCUGGGCGCCCGGAGGGCCCAGAGAGGGCAGUAUUCACACGAAGCUAGCAAGGGCUGGAGCGGAGCUCGGUACCAGCACUUCCUAAGGUAAACCACAGGGAUGUUCUGAGCCGAGUUCACCUCAGGUGGCAGGUGCAGCCCUUUGAAGACCCCAGUGGUGUUUAGUCCAUCCCAAGGAGGGGUGGGAAUACCUCCCCAAAGGUCAGCAGCCACUCGUGUCCCUCACCUGUCCCGCCCGCCCCAUCAUGCCUCCUUGCCGCCCUUCCCCUCCCCCAGCUCCAGCCUCCAGCCUCCACCCCUAGAUCUGGAGCCAAGGAAGGUGCAAGGAUGAAGCGAGAACGGAAGGCGAGACCAGCUUUAGGGACGGUGAUGCUGGGGUUGCCACAGGUGGUUUCCAUCCCCUGCCUUCCUGUAUCGGCAGCCCUGUGGUACAGGAGGGGGCCUUCCAGCAGGGGCUUUGGAUGGUGCCCUGCAGAGGUUGCACAGGCCCCAGUAAGCCUCACGGUAGACUCGGAGAACACUCAGAAUCCCAGAAGUCACCCGGCCCCAUCUCUACCUGACUCUUGCGUUUUCCCUGCAACAUGGCAACCAGGUAUUGGGGUUUCCUCAUUAGUGGAAUAGUCAUCCACUAUUAGGAUGCAGUUAGGGAGUUGUACAGAUAAGAAAACUUAUCACGGUAUGAAAACGUUCACCGACAGACUGCCCACUUAUAAAAUGCAGCUGCACCUGACAGCCCUUUCUGCUUAACACAAAUGUACGUCUCUGCCCCCAACGGGGUCAGCGUCUGUGCCGGUAACUUCUCACUGCUUCCUGAGGCUCAUCACAUCCAACAAGGCAGGGCAAACGUAAUGGAAACCAACUGAAAAGUGAAGUUACAAAUCUUGCCGGAAAGGAUUCUGUGAAGGCCGUGAAAGUGAUGCUGGAAGAUUCCAGGGAUCACCUGGGAAGCCACUGACAAGUGAGGAACGGGAAGAGUUAGUCCCGUGAACAACCGAAGAGGAGAAAAUGACAAUAAUGACACGCUUGUCACAUCUAAAGAGAGCUACUUAGAUUAUCAGCUGACAAAGCCCUCAAAUACUUUUACAAAAAUGACCUAGACAGGGCUUCCCUGGUGGCGCAGUGGUUGAGAAUCUGCCUGCUAAUGCAGGGGACACGGGUUCGAGCCCUGGUCUGGGAAGAUCCCACAUGCUGCGGAGCAACUAGGCCCGUGAGCCACAACUACUGAGCCUGUGCGUCUGGAGCCUAUGCUCCGCAACAAGAGAGGCCACGAUAGUGAGAGGCCUGCGCACCGCGAUGAAGAGUGGCCCCCGCUGGCCACAGCUGGAGAAAGCCCUCGCACAGAAACGAAGACCCAACACAGCAAAAAUAAAUUAAUUAAUUAAUAAACUCCUACCCCCAACAUCUAAAAAAAAAAAAAAAAGACCUAGUCAGUGAGUGUUGUUACUCAAAUAAUAUCUAGAUGGGAAGGCACUUUGAGGAAAAACACCCCACAGGGCAAAUAUAAAUUGGUAUGGAAUUGUAUACUUUAAAUGGAUGGAUUGUAUAGUAUGUGAAUUAUAUCUUAAUAAAGCUGAUAUAAAAAAAUAAAAUAAAAUAGGACUUCCCUGGUGGUCCAGUGGUUAAGACUCCACACUUCCACUGCA